GACGAACGCUGGCGGCGUGCUUAACACAUGCAAGUCGAACGGUAAGGCCCUUCGGGGUACACGAGUGGCGAACGGGUGAGUAACACGUGGGUGAUCUGCCCUGCACUUCGGGAUAAGCCUGGGAAACUGGGUCUAAUACCGGAUAGGACCACUGCCUGCAUGGGUGGUGGUGGAAAGCUUUUGCGGUGUGGGAUGGGCCCGCGGCCUAUCAGCUUGUUGGUGGGGGGAUGGCCUACCAAGGCGACGACGGGUAGCCGGCCGGGGAGGGUGACGGGCCACACUGGGACUGAGAUACGGCCCAGACUCCUACGGGAGGCAGCAGUGGGGAAUCUUGCACAAUGGGCGCAAGCCUGAUGUAGCGACGCCGCGUGAGGGAUGACGGCCUUCGGGUUGUAAACCUCUUUCAGCACCGACGAAGCGCAAGUGACGGUAGGUGCAGAAGAAGGACCGGCCAACUACGUGCCAGCCGCCGCCGUAA
rnacentral:rRNA from 1 species